AGAUUGAACGCUAGCGGGAUGCUUUACACAUGCAAGUCGAACGGCAGCGCGGACUUCGGUCUGGCGGCGAGUGGCGAACGGGUGAGUAAUAUAUCGGAACGUGCCCAGUAGCGGGGGAUAACUACGCGAAAGCGUGGCUAAUACCGCAUACGCCCUACGGGGGAAAGGGGGGGAUCGCAAGACCUCUCACUAUUGGAGCGGCCGAUAUCAGAUUAGCUAGUUGGUGAGGUAAGGCUCACCAAGGCGACGAUCUAGUAGCUGGUUUGAGAGGACGACCAGCCACACUGGGACUGAGACACGGCCCAGACUCCGACGGGAGGCGAGCGAGUGGGGUAAUUUGGACUAAGUAGGGGAACCUAGGAUACCGAGCCACUCCCGCGGUGGUCGCCGGAAUGGAACGG
rnacentral:rRNA from 1 species